rnacentral:rRNA from 1 species
UACGAAGGGGGCUAGCGUUGCUCGGAAUUACUGGGCGUAAAGCGCACGUAGGCGGCUUUCUAAGUCGGGGGUGAAAUCCUGGAGCUCAACUCCAGAACUGCCUUCGAUACUGGAAGCUCGAGUCCGGGAGAGGUGAGUGGAACUGCGAGUGUAGAGGUGAAAUUCGUAGAUAUUCGCAAGAACACCAGUGGCGAAGGCGGCUCACUGGCCCGGUACUGACGCUGAGGCACGAAAGCGUGGGGAGCAAACAGG